rnacentral:rRNA from 1 species
CCUACGGGAGGCAGCAGUGGGGAAUAUUGCGCAAUGGGCGAAAGCCUGACGCAGCGACGCCGCGUGAGGGAUGAAGGUCUUCGGAUCGUAAACCUCUGUCAGCAGGGAAGAACGGUCACUGUGCUAAUCAGCAGUGAAUUGACGGUACCUGCAAAGGAAGCACCGGCUAACUCCGUGCCAGCAGCCGCGUUAAUACGUAGGGGGCAAGCGUUAUCCGGAUUUACUGGGUGUAAAGGGAGCGUAGACGGCAGCGCAAGUCUGGAGUGAAAUCCCAUGGCUUAACCAUGGAACUGCGUUGGAAACUGUGCAGCUGGAGUGCAGGAGAGGUAAGCGGAAUUCGUAGUGUAGCGGUGAAAUGCGUAGAUAUUAGGAGGAACACCAGUGGCGAAGGCGGCUUACUGAACUGUAACUGACGUUGAGGCUCGAAAGCGUGGGGAGCAAACAGGAUUAGAUACCCCGGUAGUC